rnacentral:rRNA from 1 species
UACGGGGGGGGCAAGCGUUGUUCGGAAUUACUGGGCGUAAAGGGUGCGUGAGGUGCGAGGUAAGUCGGAUGUGAAAGCUCGGAGCUCAACUCCGAAAUGGCAUUGGAAACUACCUUGCUCGAGGGUUGGAGGGGGGACUGGAAUACUUGGUGUAGCAGUGAAAUGCGUUGAUAUCGUGAGGAACACCCGUGGCGAAAGCGGCUCACUGGGUCUUUUCUGACGGCUGAUGCACGAAAGCUAGGGGAGCAAACGGG